ensembl:lncRNA
AUGGGCCUUGUGCCCGCUGGUGGGGCGGGGGAGGGGAAGCUUCGAGAAGGAAAGUCGGCCUUUGUGAGGAUGGUGGCAGUUUCCCUGGGACCCAAGGGGCGGCUACAGGUGGGAAUGGGUGGCAGGUGUAUUACAGGACAGAGGCCAGGGCUGCAGCCAGUGUGCAGCUGUGAGAUGUGGGCUGAAAGGAGAAAAGCCUUGGAGCAGGCGAUCUCGGGUGUUGGGGAGCACUUGGAAGAGAAGGCAGGGAUGGGGGCGGCAGGGCCGAGGACCCGUCUCUCACACGGUUCCAGUCGAGGACUGGUUUCCCCAGCUGCGGGCAUGGCCUGGGAGCCACAGCCUCAUCUGCAGUCCCUCUCUUGGCCUUUCUCAGGGCCCUUGGCCAGCCUGUGCUGCUCCCCGGGAGCCUUUUCUGCUCUGGGGGCACCCAGGCCUGGCUGGCACAACUCCUGGGGCCGGCAGAGGGGCUCCCCCCCCGCGCCACACACACAAAGCCACCCUGUGGGUGUGAGAGGGCGGCGGGUCCUCCGGCCAGGGAUGCCGCACCAACUACACGUCCUUGCUGUGAUGGGGGCCGGCGCCGGUCUCUCCGAGGGACCCCAAGUGAAGAACUCACUUGCGCUAAUGGCCAGGAGUCCCACCCCUGCCUCUACUCAGCACCUUCUGGGGACACCCCCUGCCUGUGCCCAGGGCGCCCCGAGAAUCGUCAGGACGCCACCCCGCAUGUCAACAUGCCUCUCCCUUGGCUGCCUCUUUUCAUGGUCUCAGGUGGCUGCGUCUUUCUGCCUGUCCAUCCACUCCUCUGCCCACCCAUCCACGCACCAGGCCAGUCAUGCCGUGAACACCUCCUCUGCUCUGAGUGUACUCUGGGGUUGUGUGUGGCGGGGAGCCGGGCACUGGGAGGGUGGCCCGCAGCCCUGUGCUGUGACAAGUGCCACGGAGGAAGAGAGCAAACCACCCGAGGGAAGUGGCAGUGGGGACCCGACUUGGUCUCGGGUGGGGGCACACGUGAAGGGGAGACGAGCCCGGAUGCCCGCAAGCCCGACGGACGGAGGACGGACACAGAGAGAGGCACCCACUUACUCCUUCCACACACAUUUAUUAGGCACCUACUGGGCACCACACGUGGAGACAGAGGCUGGAGAAUGUCACAGUGUGCACGGCGGCCCAGCCAUCACCCGGUGGGCAGCGAACAAGCAUCCCACGAAGGGGCGGGGCGGGGGCUGCAGACGCUCAAGGCCGAGGUGGGGUGGGCGUGUUCCAGGCGGUGGGGAGACACUGGAGGCCGGAGCAGCAGGACGACGGACGGGGUUUUCGCCUCCGUGCCCAGUGGCCGCCACGGGCCGGAGGAGCGGGGGGGGGGCCUCCGUGGGGGAGCAGCAGACGAUGUCGUUGGGCCGGCCUUUCCGACUCCCCACGCCCUGCCUCCUGACCACACAGCCUGUGGGCGCAGCUCUCCUCAGAGCCUUCAGGAAAGCCUCCGCCCAACCCUCUGAAUCCAGCACAACAGGAUUGGGGGGGGCCCUCCGGAAGGGUCCUUCAUGGUCACUGCCCACAGGGCUGUACCUGCCGCCCCUCCCAGCCGAACCCCACGGGGGGCCCAGGGCAGACACCCGCAGCCCCCUCUGCACCCCGAGGUGUCAUGCAAUCACACACCCGCCGCCCCCAGGCAAGCAUGCACCUCGGACGCUGCCUCCACCAGCCCGCUUCCCUCCCGGUUCAAAGGCAGCGGCGUUCACUUUGGAGAAAGGGCCUUUGAACGUGGCUGGACAGGGCCUUGCAGCGAGCUCAGGGCACGUGGAAAAGCCUCGCCUCUGUCCAGCCUCAUGCACGACACCAGCCUCGACACUGCACUUCUGA